UAUAUUAAGUGUGGGUGUGUGAGGUCCUCUAGUAAUGAUGUACCAUAAUUCAUAGUCUAAAGCUUGAAUGAAUAUCCUCAUCCUAGCUUUCCAGUAUGUGUAGUUUGUGCCAUUAAAUAGAGGUGGUCUAUUUGUGGAUUGCCCCUCACUCAUAGAACAUCCCACUUGGGUUGUCAUGAUCUUUAACUCUUGAUUGUGAGACCAAUGAGUACUAUUGGAGCACCUUGCUCUGAUACCACUUGUUGCCCAAGGUGACAAGUCAAGAGGGGGGGUGAAUUGGUUUCUUUUAAUUUUAACUUUCUUACUUGUGUUAAAUGAUGAGUUAGUGAACUUAAACAAAUCACAAUGCAAACAACAAGAAGUAUAGUGGUUCGGUGCUCUCCUUAGCACCUACGUCCACUCCCCAAGCGACUCCUUGGGAAUUCACUAUAAUCCCGCGGAUUACAGUUGGAUUGUUUUCUGGGCUCACAAUCCAAAAACCUUUACACUUUGGUUUUCCGGGUUCACCAAAAACCUAUGUUGGUUUUACGGGCUCACCAACGAACCUAUGUUGGUUUUACGAGCUCACCAACGAACCUUUACAAUUGGUUUUCCGGGUUCACCAAUCAACCUAUUCCGUUGGUUUUGCGGGCUAACCAACCAACCUUUACAAGUAGUUUAAUAAACAAAGAAGAAGAUUUAAGCUCCUAGAUGAGCAAAUAUAACAAUAUAAUCUACAAAGAAGAGUUUAGAGAAUAGUUAUCGCUUGAUAUGACUUCUCUCUUCUUUGUCAAGGAUGCUUCACUCUUCAUAGGUGGAUGGAGCUCUUAAUGACUCUUUGAAUCUGCUCAACCACUUUCUUUUGACUCUUGAAUGAAGCACUUGGAUGAAGAAGAUUAGGGCACUUUGUCUUUCUUGUGUACUCUUUGAUAUUCUUGCAAAAGGAUGUUCUCUUUGAUGAAUAGUGCCACUUUAAAUAGUUUUCUUCAUCCAUUGGACAAGCCCUAAUGGUUAGAAUUCAAAAACUAGCCGUUACUCACUGUUGGAAGGACAAAAAGUACUUCUGCAGAACUAGCCGUUAUGCUUCUGCCCGUGUUUGGGUCGGCUCAACCUGUCCUUGGGUCGACCCAACUUUCACUUGGGUCGACUCAAACUUUCCUUGGGUCGACCCUCUCAGAACCACAGAAACUUGCAAUUCAGCCUUCCUUCACUUGGGUCGAC
rnacentral:lncRNA from 1 species